UUUUGACCUCGGAUCAGGUAGGGAUACCCGCUGAACUUAAGCAUAUCAAUAAGC
rnacentral:rRNA from 4 species